rnacentral:rRNA from 1 species
UACGAAGGGGGCUAGCGUUGCUCGGAAUCACUGGGCGUAAAGCGCACGUAGGCGGCUCUUAUGACAGGGGUGAAAUCCUGGAGCUCAACUCCAGAACUGCCUUUGAUACUGGAGACGCUCGAGUCCGGGAGAGGUGAGUGGAACUGCGAGUGUAGAGGUGAAAUUCGUAGAUAUUCGCAAGAACACCAGUGGCGAAGGCGGCUCACUGGCCCGGUAUUGACGCUGAGGCGCGAAAGCCAGGGGAGCAAAGCGGG